AGCAGUAGCCACGGUAAUACGAAGGGUGCAAGCGUUACUCGGAAUUACUGGGCGUAAAGCGUGUGUAGGUGGUGGUUUAAGUCCGUUGUGAAAGCCCUGGGCUCAACCUGGGAAUUGCAGUGGAUACUGGGUCACUAGAGUGUGGUAGAGGAUAGUGGAAUUUCCGGUGUAGCAGUGAAAUGCGUAGAGAUCGGAAGGAACAUCUGUGGCGAAGGCGAUUAUCUGGGCCAACACUGACACUGAGGCACGAAAGCGUGGGGAGCAAACAGGAUUAGAUACCCCUGUAGUCCCUGUCUCUUAUAC
rnacentral:rRNA from 1 species